rnacentral:rRNA from 1 species
UACGUAGGGUGCAGGCGUUAAUCGGAAUUACUGGGCGUAAAGCGUGCGCAGGCGGUCUUUUAAGUCAGAUGUGAAAUCCCCCGGGCUUAACCUGGGAACUGCGUUUGAAACUGGAAGGCUAGAGUGUGGCAGAGGGGGGGUGGAAUUCCACGUGUAGCAGUGAAAUGCGUAGAUAUGUGGAGGAACACCGAUGGCGAAGGCAGCCCCCUGGGCUAACACUGACGCUCAUGCACGAAAGCGUGGGGAGCAAACAGG